rnacentral:rRNA from 1 species
UGGUCAAGUUAUUAAGGGUGCAGGGCGGAUGCCUUGGCACUAGGAGCCGAUGAAGGACGUGAUAAGCUGCGAUAAGCUUCGGGGAGUUGCACGUAAACUUUGAUCCGAAGAUUUCCGAAUGAGGAAACUCACUUAGAGUAAUGUCUAAGUAUCAUUAAGUGAAUACAUAGCUUAAUGAGGGGAACUCAGGGAACUGAAACAUCUAAGUACCUGAAGGAAGAGAAAGAAAUUCGAUUCCGUAAGUAGCGGCGAGCGAACGCGGAUUAGCCCAAACCAAUAAAGUUUUCUUUAUUGGGGUUGCGGACAUAUCAUAACGAAGAGGUAUCGUAAUUGAAGAGGUUUGGAAAGACCCACCACAGAAGGUAAUAGUCCUGUAUGUUAAACGAGAAGACUUCAGAUAUGAUCCAGAGUACCACGGGACACGUGAAACCCUGUGGGAAGCAGGAGGGACCACCCUCCAAGGCUAAAUACUACCUAGUGACCGAUAGCGUAUAGUACCGUGAGGGAAAGGUGAAAAGAACCCCGGGAGGGGAGUGAAAUAGAACCUGAAACCCUGCACUUACAAGCUGUGGAAGCACAUUUCUUGUGUGACCGCGUACUUUUUGUAGAACGGGCCAACGAGUUACGUUAAGUAGCAAGGUUAAGCACUUAAGGUGCGGAGCCGUAGCGAAAGCGAGUUUUAACUGAGCGUUCAGUUACUUGACGUAGACCCGAAACCGGGCGACCUACCCAUGAGCAGGAUGAAGCGAAAGUAAAAUUUCGUGGAGGUCCGAACCCACGAGCGUUGAAAAGCUCGGGGAUGACUUGUGGGUAGCGGUGAAAUUCCAAUCGAGCCCGGAGAUAGCUGGUUCUCCCCGAAAUAGCUUUAGGGCUAGCCUCAAGGUGAGAGAUACGGAGGUAGAGCACUGAAUGUCCUAGGGGGUAUUGCACCUACCGAAGACUAUCAAACUCCGAAUGCCGUCAUCUUAUACUUGGGAGUCAGACUGUGGGUGAUAAGAUUCAUAGUCGAAAGGGCAACAGCCCAGAUCGUCAGCUAAGGUCCCUAAAUGUAAGUUAAGUGGUAAAGGAUGUGGGAUUGCACAGACAACCAGGAUGUUGGCUUAGAAGCAGCCACUCAUUCAAAGAGUGCGUAAUAGCUCACUGGUCGAGUGAUCCUGCGCCGAAGAUUUCCGGGGCUAAAACUUACUACCGAAGCUACGGCAUCAGUAAUGAUGGGUAGGGGAGCUUCCCAUACGGGUUGAAGCAUGACCGUAAGGACAUGUGGACAGUAUGGGAGUGAGAAUGUUGGCAUGAGUAGCGAGAUGUGGGUGAGAAUCCCACAGGCCGUAAACCCAAGGUUUCCAGGGGAAGGUUCGUCCGCCCUGGGUUAGUCGGGACCUAAGCUGAGGCCGAAAGGCGUAGGUGAUGGACAACAGGUUGAUAUUCCUGUACUACCGAUAACCGUUUGAGAGAAGGGAUGACACAGUAGGAUAAGCUAAGCACACUGUUGGUUAUGUGUGCCCAAGCAUUGAGGCAGUCAAAGUAGGCAAAUCCGCUUUGAUAAUGCUGGGAUGUGAUGGGGAGCGAAAUUUAGUAGCGAAGUAGCUGAUUUCACACUGUCAAGAAAAGUCUCUAUCGAGGUUAAAGGUACCCGUACCGCAAACCGACACAGGUGGGUGAGGAGAGUAUCCUAAGGCCAGCGAGAGAACUGUUGUUAAGGAACUCGGCAAAAUGACCCCGUAACUUAGGGAUAAGGGGUGCCACCAUCAGGUGGCCGCAGAGAAUAGGCCCAAGCGACUGUUUACCAAAAACAUAGGUUUCUGCUAAGUCGCAAGACGAUGUAUAGGAGCUGACGCCUGCCCGGUGCUGGAAGGUUAAGGGGAUCUGUUAGAGCAAUCGAAGCAGUGAACUUAAGCCCCAGUAAACGGCGGCCGUAACUAUAACGGUCCUAAGGUAGCGAAAUUCCUUGUCGGGUAAGUUCCGACCCGCACGAAAGGCGUAACGAUUUGGGCACUGUCUCAACAACAGACUCGGUGAAAUUGUAAUUCCGGUGAAGAUGCCGGAUACCUGCGACAGGACGGAAAGACCCCAUGGAGCUUUACUGUAGCUUGACAUUGGGUCUUGGUACUACAUGUACAGGAUAGGUGGGAGGCUUUGAAACCAGGACGCCAGUUUUGGCGGAGCCAUCCUUGGGAUACCACCCUUGUAGUACUGGGACUCUAACCAUAGGCCAUGAAUCUGGUCUUGGGACACUGUCAGGUGGGCAGUUUGACUGGGGCGGUCGCCUCCCAAAAGGUAACGGAGGCGCUCAAAGGUUCUCUCAGUACGGUCGGAAAUCGUACGUAGAGUGUAAAGGCAAAAGAGAGCUUGAUUGCAAGACAUACAGGUCGAGCAAGGAUGAAAAUCGGACUUAGUGAUCCGGUGGUUCUGCGUGGAAGGGCCAUCGCUCAACGGAUAAAAGCUACCCUGGGGAUAACAGGCUUAUCUCCCCCAAGAGUCCACAUCGACGGGGAGGUUUGGCACCUCGAUGUCGGCUCAUCACAUCCUGGGGCUGUAGUAGGUCCCAAGGGUUGGGCUGUUCGCCCAUUAAAGUGGUACGCGAGCUGGGUUCAGAACGUCGUGAGACAGUUCGGUCCCUAUCCGUCGCAGGCGUAGGAAAUUUGAGAAGACCUGUCCUUAGUACGAGAGGACCGGGAUGGACGUACCUCUGGUGUACCAGUUGUUCUGCCAAGGGCAUGGCUGGGUAGCUAUGUACGGAAUGGAUAAGCGCUGAAAGCAUCUAAGCGCGAAGCCAACUUCAAGAUAAGAUUUCCCACCGCAAGGGUAAGACCCCAGAAAGACUAUCUGGUUGAUAGGUCGAAGGUGUAAGUGCAGCAAUGUAUUUAGCUUAUCGAUACUAAUAGGUCGAGGACUUGACCAAU